GACGAAGGGGGCUAGCGUUGUUCGGAAUUACUGGGCGUAAAGCGCGUGUAGGCGGUUGUUCAAGUCAGGUGUGAAAGCCUUGAGCUCAACUCCAGAACUGCCUUUGAUACUGGCGAUCUUGAGUCCGGGAGAGGUGAGUGGAACUCCGAGUGUAGAGGUGAAAUUCGUAGAUAUUCGGAAGAACACCAGUGGCGAAGGCGGCUCACUGGCCCGGUACUGACGCUGAGGUGCGAAAGCGUGGGGAGCAAACAGG
rnacentral:rRNA from 1 species